GUUGAAACCAACAUAAAUCCCUAUGAGGGAUUGAAAC
rfam:Roseofilum reptotaenium AO1-A Rreptotaenium_AO1_contig_18_len_274292_cov_428.052, whole genome shotgun sequence.